GCACAUCAUUAAUUAAAUUAAUCUGUCAAUCUCACCCAUCAAAGUCAGUGGGCGGAACCACUGACGUAAACGGGCGGGACUAGUGCCAAUCUGGUGUUAUCGACUGCUUUGGUCUGAAGCGUAACACCUCCUACAUGACAUGAAUGGAUCAAGGAGGAAAGCUGCUUCUAUUCGAAAUAUGAUGAAAAAAAGGGUUGUGAGUGAUUGGGACUGUAGCACUGUCAACAUUUCAAGUGUAAGGCUUAGAGUUUUAUCUUUAGGAAAAUGUAUUCGUGAAAUUAGCUUCUUGGCCAUGAAGUUUUAAAAGGAGUGGAUGCAUGUUGUCGAGAUACGUUGAGGAUGACAGCUGCCUCCAAGUUCUUCUUGGCUUCCUCGUUGAGGAUGACAGCUGCCUCCAAGUUCUUCUUGGCUUCCUCGCGGCCUAUCCACUAUAAGGGCUCCGGGAACCAAAUCUCCUUCAUCAUCGUGUUAGUUGUUUGACACACUUUCUCACAGAAAUAAAAAGGGGAUACUGUGACCAAACCGGCCUACUGAUGUCCAUACAGUAGCCCUACACAAGACCAUGUCUGUCACAUUGGUGCCAUGACCGAGUUGGACCUUCGCCCAACCGGGAUCAUUCUGGACAUCAUCUGCGUUGUGAUAAUCAUCAAAGCCUGACUGCCCACAACACCUGGAUCAGAGAGCCAGUCCAAUGAAAUCUGUCAAGAAAACCGCAGAUAAACAAGGCCUGUAUCAUCAUUGUAGUCUAGUACUACACUUUUAUUAUACACGAAGACAGAACAUGAGAUGCUUGUAUCAUUGCAAAAAAAAACAAAACUAACUAUACAAUCAGUCAUGCACUCUCAGACGCACUCACUUACUAUACAACUCACCACACACGUUAUCCAUUACAAUGUGUUCAUUCAGCUCUAACAUACCCACAUUUUUAAUUGAAAAAACCCUCAAAUCUCAAGAACCUGAAUGCAGCGUAUAUGUGUCUCCAGGCUACAAUGGGUUAAAGCGCUGGAGGCCAGAAGGAAAGUAGAGUGAUUACACUCAUUCUCAAACUGGACGCAAUGUGGACAGUAUUCCAAGUGUGCC